AGUGUAUACUCAAUGUAACAUGUUAGUGAUAAUUUCAUAUUUCUUCCCAGUUACUACUCAGUUCUAUAUGCUGAUUCUAAUACAAACUACCAGCUAUUUAUUCAUUGGAGCUUCCAAAAUGGCUUUUUCUCUCUUGAUCAGGCUUGUUAGACCAUUGACACAACAUGCCACCACCAGCUGGAGGCAGCUUUGUCAAGUACAGUAGCUCUUAUAAGACCAAGGUGAGUGUGUUUAAUCACAGAAGACAAAUGUUACAGAAGAGUAUUCUUAAUUCUUAGAACACUUCAAGACCAUUUCAGCCUUGCCCAAGGUUAGCCAGAUUUUCUUCAAGUGCCUGCCUUCCCUGCAGGUAAUAGCACUUUAGGCAUGAAAAA